CGCCUCCCUCCGCCGCCACUCACGACUACCGUACCGGGACGGCGAGCAGGUACGGGGAAGUCGUUGCACAAUCGGGACGAAAGACCUGAUGCAGCAACGCCGCGUGAGGACGAAGGCGUUCUGAGUUGUAAACCUCUUUCAGCAGGGACGAUUGUGACGGUACCUGCAGAAGA
rnacentral:rRNA from 1 species